GGUGCUGUCUGCAUGGUAUGCCUUUUGCAGGCCAGUGUGCAUUAUUGAAAUACAUUCACGCUGGCUGACCUUCCAAUUCCUUUGAUUUUUUGGGCAUGUUUGCCCCUUUGUGCGCUUUUGGUUACUUAAUUUGCAUCAGUGGCCCACUAUUUUACCCUGUCCACAGAAAUCCUGCUUAACCAGACACUGCUGUUAGGGGGUAUGGAC